rnacentral:rRNA from 1 species
UACGUAGGGUGCAAGCGUUGUCCGGAAUUAUUGGGCGUAAAGAGCUCGUAGGCGGUUUGUCGCGUUCUGCUGUGAAAAACCCGAGGCUCAACCUCGGGCCGCAGUGGGUACGGGCAGACUAGAGUGCGGUAGGGGGAGAUUGGAAUUCCUGGUGUAGCGGUGGAAUGCGCAGAUAUCAGGAGGAACACCGGUGGCGAAGGCGGGUCUCUGGGCCGGUAC